rnacentral:rRNA from 1 species
GAUGAACGCUAGCGGCAGGCUUAAUACAUGCAAGUCGAGGGGCAGCACGAAUAGCAAUAUUUGGUGGCGACCGGCAAACGGGUGCGGAACACGUACGCAACCUUCCUUUAAGUGGAGAAUAGCCCGGGGAAACCCGGAUUAAUACUCCGUAACAUUAUAAAGUGGCAUCACUUAGUAAUUAUAGAUUUAUCGCUUAAAGAUGGGCGUGCGCCUGAUUAGGUAGUUGGCGGAGUAAAGCCCACCAAGCCUGCGAUCAGUAACUGGUGUGAGAGCACGACCAGUCACACGGGCACUGAGACACGGGCCCGACUCCUACGGGAGGCAGCAGUAAGGAAUAUUGGUCAAUGGACGCAAGUCUGAACCAGCCAUGCCGCGUGGAGGAUGAAGGUCCUCUGGA